UCACCGCCGCAUCCCCCCUCUCUCUAUCUCCGAUCCAGAUCGGCCGCCUCUUAUCCCUUCCUUCUACCGCUUCCCUAUCCCUCUUCCCAUCCCCGGCAGUGGCGCCCUCCUUCCCUCAUGCUGCACCCAAACCUCCCUCCCGCUCCUAGCUUUUCUUCCUCCUCCGCCGCCUCUAGGGUUUCUCUCCCUGAUCCCCAAUCCCCUAGCGCUCCACUCCUUCCUUGCCGCCGCCACCUCCGGCGCCGGAUCAUGGCGACCUCAGGCGGGAAUCGAAGACUCCUGUCCGGCGAGAUCCGGCGCACGCUCGAGCCUGAGCGAUGAGGUGGUUCAAAUCGUGCAUGGGGACGCAGCGAGGGACCUAACGGUGGUCACCGUCAGCUUCCCGGACAAGACCGGCCUGGGCUGCGACCUCUGCCGCCUUGUCGUCCUCUUCAGCCUCAACGUCCACAAAGGCGACAUGAGCACCGACGGCCACUAGUGCUACAUCAUGCUCUGGGUCGCCGCCUCGCGCCGGGGCCGGGCCGUGGACUGGGACGCCCUCAAGGAGCGGCUGGUGGAGCUUCGUCCGCACCACGCUAGAGCAGACCCGCCUCCGCACCGCCCUCACGCCCCACCCCUCGCAGGAAAAGUUCAGGCUCAUACGAGCCAACGACGAUGUGACUGUUUUGGAUGCUCUCUCCUUCAGCGCUCUCAAAAUUGGACUGCUUCGCAGCUUGACGGUUGAGAAGAAAAACUAUGUUCAGGAGCCCUCUUUGGUCGACAUGCAUGAGGAGGAGGAAAUUGUCUCCCCACACAAGGAGGAUGCCUGAGCUAACCAGGAGGACACCCUCGUCCACCUCAGCCACCACACAAGGGCGAGGCCGGUGAUGUCCGUGCGGUGAUGUCCCUGGGGUGGCGCCACUGUGCCCGGCGCUUACCCUGGUCGCCGCGGUGGUGCUUCGGCAGCUUCCAGACCCUCUCCUUGAUGUGGUGAUGGUCACACCACAGCCGUGGUGUGGCUGAGCCUCUGCUACGGUUACAACCUUCCUCUGGUUGAAGGCGCUAAGGUGUUGGAGACGUGCGUGUACUUGUUGAGCGUUUUAUCUGUAGAAUGCUAUACUGUGAUUGGUGUAAUAUUGUGCGGUUAUAUUGUGAUUGGUGGAAUGUAAUAAACUUGAUUGGUACAUCGGUGAUUUGGCUGUUAUUUGAAUA